rnacentral:rRNA from 1 species
GAUCAUGGCUCAGGAUGAACGCUAGCGGCAGGCUUAACACAUGCAAGUCGGAGGGGCAGCAUAAUGGAUAGCAAUAUCUAUGGUGGCGACCGGCGCACGGGUGCGUAACGCGUAUGCAAAAACCUCCUUUAACAGGGGGAUAACACUGAGAAAUUGGUACUAAUACCCAUAAUAUCAUAGAAGGCAUCUUUUAUGGUUGAAAAUUCCGAUGGUUAGAGAUGGGCAUGCGUUGUA